rnacentral:rRNA from 1 species
UCAAGUGACUAAGUGCAUGCGGCGGAUGCCUUGGCGAUCACAGGCGAAGAAAGACGCGGCAGCCUGCGAAAAGCUGCGGGGAGCUGGCAAACGAGCUUUGAUCCGCAGAUAUCUGAAUGGGGGAACCCACACCGCAAGGUGUAUCCGUAACUGAAUACAUAGGUUACGGAGGCGAACGAGGAGAACUGAAACAUCUAAGUAUCCUCAGGAAAAGAAAUCAACCGAGAUUCCGGCAGUAGCGGCGAGCGAACCCGGAGGAGCCCAGCUUUUGAUAGUACGAACUUUAGCCGAAAGGUCCUGGAAAGGCCUGCUAUAGUGGGUGAUAGCCCCGUAGGCGAAAGAGUUGGUACGGUACUAAGGAAGCGAGAAGUAGAGCGGGACACGUGGAAUCCUGUUCGAAGACGGGGGGACCAUCCUCCAAGGCUAAAUACUCGUGAUCGACCGAUAGUGAACCAGUACCGUGAGGGAAAGGCGAAAAGAACCCCGGGAGGGGAGUGAAAUAGAACCUGAAACCGCAUGCAUACAAACAGUAGGAGCCUCGUCAGAGGUGACUGCGUACCUUUUGCAUAAUGGGUCAGCGACUUACAUUCUGUGGCGAGCUUAACCGAAUAGGGGAGGCGCAGCGAAAGCGAGUUCGAAAUGAGCGUCCAGUCGCAGGGUGUAGACCCGAAACCAGAUGAGCUAUCCAUGGCCAGGUUGAAGGUGUGGUAACACACACUGGAGGACCGAACCGACUAGUGUUGCAAAAUUAGCGGAUGAGCUGUGGAUAGGGGUGAAAGGCCAAACAAAUCUGGAGAUAGCUGGUUCUCCCCGAAAACUAUUGAGGUAGUGCCUCGUGUGUCGCUCCAGGGGGUAGAGCACUGUUUUGGCUAGGGGGACAUGGAGUCUUACCAAACCAAGGCAAACUCCGAAUACCUGGAAGCGUAAGCACGGGAGACAGAGCACCGGGUGCUAACGUCCGGACUCAAAAGGGAAACAACCCAGACCGCCGGCUAAGGUCCCAAAUAACAGCUAAGUGGAAAACGAAGUGGAAAGGCCGUGACAACCAGGAAGUUGGCUUAGAAGCAGCCAUCCUUCAAAGAAAGCGUAAUAGCUCACUGGUCGAGUCCUUCUGCGCGGAAGAUGUAACGGGGCUAAGCUGUUAACCGAAGCCGCGGAUGCGCUGGUUAUCCAGUGCGUGGUAGGGGAGCGUUCUGUAAGUCUGCGAAGGCGGUUCGAGAGGACUGCUGGAGAUAUCAGAAGUGCGAAUGCUGACAUGAGUAACGUUAAAGCAGGUGAAAAGCCUGCUCGCCGUAAGCCCAAGGAUUCCUGCUCUACGUUCAUCGGAGCAGGGUGAGUCGGCUCCUAAGGUCAGGCCGAAAGGCGUAGCCGAUGGGAAUCAGGUUAAUAUUCCUGAACCUGCGUCAGAUGCGAUGGGGGGACGGAGCAUGGAAGAUCAUCCGGGUGUUGGAAGUCCCGGUUGUUUAGCGUAGGAGGUCUGCAGGCAAAUCCGCAGACGCAUCUCCAAGGCAAAGACACGUGCCGCCACGGCGGCGAAGUGAUCGGAAGUGCUUCCAAGAAAAGCCUCUAAGCCCCAGUCUGACGCGGACCGUACCGCAAACCGACACUGGUGGGCGAGCUGAAUAUGCUCAGGCGCUUGAGAGAACUCGGGAGAAGGAACUCGGCAAAUUGACACCGUAACUUCGGAAGAAGGUGUGCCGUAGUACCGUGAGAGGAGAGACACCUUGAGCGGGAAACGGUCUCAGAGAAUAGGUGGCUGCGACUGUUUAUUAAAAACACAGCACUCUGCAAAGUCGAAAGACGACGUAUAGGGUGUGAUGCCUGCCCGGUGCUGGAAGAUUAAUUGAUGGGGUGAGAGCCCUUGAUCGAAGUCCCAGUAAACGGCGGCCGUAACUAUAACGGUCCUAAGGUAGCGAAAUUCCUUGUC